AAAAUGCGAUAUGUGGUGUGAAUUGCAGAAUCCCAUGAACCCUCCCUAGGGCACGCCUGCCUCAUGGGCGUUAGAAGCCCAUCCACGCUCGGUUGCCUCACGGUAAAGAUGCGGACAUUGGCCCUCCGAACCUCAAGGUGCGGUGGGCCUAAGUGUGCAGUCGUCGUAUGUGGUCGGGAGCGACGAGUGGUGGGCUACUGAGCACGUCACCCCGAGCUCCGUACCGACACAGGGCCUUGUUUGACCCCCUAACGAGGAGCAUGCCGUCGCGGCCUGUGCUGCGCGGCGCAUUUGGACCGAUGCCCUAGGUCAGACUGGGCUACCCAUUGAGUCUAA
rnacentral:rRNA from 1 species